rnacentral:lncRNA from 1 species
CCUGUGCCCACCCCUUUGGCUAAAGUGGACAGGUCUCUGGACUGGAUAGCCCAUGGAUGAUGUGUGCAGUGAUGGAGGAGACCUUCUAGAGGACAUUGUUUCUGCUACUGGAAUAAGGAAGAAGAUUAAGUAGAACAAGAGGAAACAAGGACGUCCUUGAGAUAAAGCAGGGUUCACUUUCAUUUAAAAGCUCACUUCUCCAAUGGGAAGCUUUUUCUUUUAAUAGUAACAGUGAAACUCUUGGUGAAAGCUAACGCAGUGCCCCAACUCAAUGUUUAUAUCUAAAAUUACAACUGG